CGCACAGGUGCGAUUUUUUAAUUUUCCUUCAGAGCAGCUCCUGCCGCAUCGGCACAGCUCGUUCGGUACCGGCGCCGAGAGGAACAACAGCUUGAUGCAAGAGGACUUGAAAUUCUCUCUCCUUUUGAACUAACUCCUCCAGUAACCUGUGAAAUAAUGGGAACAAAGCACACAUUUCCUUCAGUAGCUUCAAAUUUGCAGGAAAGGAAAGAACUUACUAUACCUAAAAUGGAAAUCUUCCUGACAAAGACAACAACAGACUUCUUCAGUUUGCACAGCCUGCCCAGCUGGACACUCAGAGAUCUCUGAGCAGCCUGGGAGUCAUGGGACACUGUAGAGCUGAGUGUGCUUACACCUGAGGUAGCUACUGCAUCUUCCAAGACAAUGCAAGGCUGCUGGAUGGUUUGAUUCUGAGGCUGUUCAUCUUGAUCUUCAACUUCUAUAUCAUCUUGAUCGGCUGUGUCACUUUCAGAUGCAAGACUAAAAUGUGGCCUCAGUUCUAUUAGGAUACAAGCAAAAGAAAAAAACACCAAGGAUGUUAAACAUUAGUUGAAUAUUAAAACAAAAGCAGACCCAAGUGACUAUUACAGAUGGUCCUAUGGGUUUGGUUACAA